rnacentral:rRNA from 1 species
GCAGAAGAGCUCUUUCUCCCGAAGUUAACGGCCGGCGGGUGAAUUACCAGGUGGUUACCUGCCCAUAAAGAUUGGAAUAAUUCCGGGAACCGGGAGUUAUUCCCGAAUACUUCCUGGACCGCCAGGUUUCAAGGAGAAAGGAGGGUUUGGCUGUUCAUUAUCGAAGGGCCCGGCUGGCCAUAAGUUAGUGGUGAAGGAACGGCUUCACAAGGCAGCGGAGGGUAAGCGGCCUGGGGAGGGGGUUCGCCCCCAUGGGGAUUAAGCCCGGGCCCGGAUUCUUCCGGAAGCCACCAUUAGGAAUUCUUCGCAAAGGGAGGAAAUUCGGAGGAACCACCCCGGCUGGAUGGAGGAGGCUUUUGGGUUGGAAAAGUUUGGUGGUUAGGAAGGACCAAGUGUAAGAGAAUAAGCUGGCACCUUGACGGUACCUAACCAGAAAGCCACGGCUAACUACGUGCCAGCAGCCGCGGUAAUACGUAGGUGGCAAGCGUYSYCSGGMAUUAUUUGGCGCGUAAAGGGCUCGCACRGYGGUUUCUUAAGUCUGAUGUGAAAGCCCCCGGCUCAACCGKGGAGGGUCAUUGGAAACUGGGAKACUUGAGUGCAGAAKAGGAGAGAUGGAAUUCCAYGUGUAGCGGUGAAAUGCGUAGAGAURUGGAGGAACACCAGUGGCGAAGGCGACUCUCUGGUCUGUAACUGACAGCUGAGGMGCGAAAGMGUGGGGAGCGAACRGGAUUAGAUACCCUGGUAGUCCACGCCGUAAACGAUGAGUGCUAAGUGUUAGAGGGUUUCCGCCCCUUAGUGCUGAAGCUAACGCAUUAAGCACUCCGCCUGGGGAGUACGGCCGCAAGACUGAAACUCAAAGGAAUUGACGGGGGCCCGCACAAGCGGUGGAGCAUGUGGUUUAAUUCGAAGCAACGCGAAGAACCUUACCAGGUCUUGACAUCCUCUGACAACCCUAGAGAUAGGGCUUCCCCUUCGGGAACAGAGUGACAGGUGGUGCAUGGUUGUCGUCAGCUCGUGUCGUGAGAUGUUGGGUUAAGUCCCGCAACGAGCGCAACCCUUGAUCUUAGUUGCCAUCAUUUAGUUGGGCACUCUAAGGUGACUGCCGGUGACAAACCGGAGGAAGGUGGGGAUGACGUCAAAUCAUCAUGCCCCUUAUGACCUGGGCUACACACGUGCUACAAUGGACAGAACAAAGAGCUGCAAGACCGCAAGGUGUAGCUAAUCUCACAAAUCUGUUCUCAGUUCGGAUCGCAGGCUGCAACUCGACUGCAUGAAGCUGGAAUCGCUAGUAAUCGCGGAUCAGCAUGCGCGGUGGAAUUCCGUUCCCCGGGCCUUGUACACACCGCCCGUCACACCACGAGAGUUUGUAACACCCGAAGUCGGUGAGGUAACCUUUAUGGAGCCAGCCGCCUAAGGUGGGACAGAUGAUUGGGGUGAGUC